rnacentral:pre_miRNA from 1 species
AGAACAUUCGCACCGUCGGUCUACCGAGCAAUAUCACCCGUUCGGUGGAAGUUCUUUCUUUCGUCGU